CACGUAGGCACCAAGCGUUGUCCGGAUUUAUUGGGCGUAAAGAGCUCGUAGGCGGUUCGGUAAGUCGGGUGUGAAAACUCUGGGCUCAACCCAGAGUCUGCUUCCGAAACUGCUGUGCUUGAGUGUGGGAGAGGCGCGUGGAAUUGCAGGUGUAGCGGUGAAAUGCGUAGAUAUCUGCAGGAACACCCGUGGCGAAAGCGGCGCGCUGGACCACUACUGACGCUGAGGAACGAAAGCUAGGGGAGCAAACAGG
rnacentral:rRNA from 1 species